rnacentral:lncRNA from 1 species
GUGGGGCUGGGCGGGGGGAGGGCCGGGGCUAGUGUGGGAGGGGGUGUCCGCUUGCUAGCCGGUCUCGCGCCUCUGGUCGUUGCUGGUCGGUGGCGAGUGAGUGACAAGCCUGUGAGCUUCAGAGGCUGUGGCCGCCAGGACGUUUGGCAGUGUUUGGAGAGUUUUGGUUCCUACAACAGUAGUGGAUCAAGACCAAGGAUGCUGAAAAAUACUCUGCUCAUUAUGCAUCAACACCUGCCCUACAACAAAGGAAUGAGGUUGCUUUAAGAAAAAAGUAAGAGGGCAGAAACUACACAGUAAGUAUCUUAAUUGAUAGUGGAAUUUUCAAAUCUUUUAAAUGUAAUUGAUUAUUGUUUUGAAAGGCAAAACAGCAAUAACAGAGUUGUGGUAUUUUUAGAAUUUUUUGAAGUUAGCAGCAGGUCUGUUAUUCAAAUGAGGAGCCAAUAUUUGAGUUCCUGCUGUGUCAGGUACUUUUCUUUACAUGUUAUUGCACUGCAGUUCUUACAGUAGUCCUCUGAAGGUGAGCUUUAGCUUCCUUCUCUGCAAAAAGGAGGAUAACAUCAACUUUUUUCCACUCUAAUUUAUUAGGCAUUAUUUUCAUUUUUGUAAUGGUUGCUUUAACUUAUCACAGUCUUUCUUCAAGUGAUAGAUAACCAUUUUGUGUGUAGUGUAGAAAUCUUUUGACAGUGUUCAGUUCUGAUGCACCACAUCCUUUGUGCCAUUUUGUCAUAAGUUUACUUCUGUGUCUGUUGCAAACCCUUUUUUAUUGUUGUUAUUUUUAAAGGUUUUUUUUUUUUAAGAGACUAAGAAAUGAAAAAGUAACUUUUUAUUACCAUUGUAUUUAGCAUUUCAGGUAUUCUUUACACCUUCAGAAAAACUAGAUUUCCAUCUGGUAUUAUUUUUCUCUGAAGAAUUUCUUUUCACAGUUAUUCUAAUGUUGAUCAGUUGGAGAAGAAUACUCACAGCUCUUAUUAUUCUGAAUAAAUUAAUUUUUCCUUAGUUCUUGAAAGUUAUUUUUGUUAGGGAGUGAAUGUCUAGGUUGACGAUUUUUUUUCCCCCUAGCUUUUUGUUUAAGGGCAUAGCUUCAUUGUCUUGUUUUCUGGCUCACUUAGAUAGGAAGUCUGUUGACCUUCUUUGCUUUGUAUAUGUAGUCUAUACUUUUUUUUCCUUCUGAUUGCUUUUAAGAUUUUCUCUUUAUUACUCCUUUUCAGCAGUUUGGGUAUAAUGUACCUUGAGGGGAGGGUUUCUUUAUGAUUAUUCUUUUUUAGUGUUAGGUUUCUUGGAUCUGUGAUAUUAUUUUAUAUCAAAUCAUUUUGUCUUAAUUUUUUUUUCCGUUUUCUUCCUCCUACUUCUUGGGUCUCCAGUUAUCCUCCUCCCCUUUGUUAAAACAAUGCUUAGUCACUAAUGAUCUGAGUUUAAGAUUUUUUUCUACCUGAAAAAAAAGAUCUUUCUGUUUUAUUUGGAUAGUUUCUAGUAUGCUGUCUAUAAGUUCACUUAUUUUUAUUCUCCUGUGUUUAAUCUGCCAUUAACUGCAUCCAUUGUGUC